UGAGUAAGACAGACAGUCGCGUGACGGCGGCGAAAGCCCCGUCAUGAGGAAAGUCCGGGCUCCGCAGGGCAAGGAUAACGGGUAACGCCCGCCGAAGGCGACUUCAGGAAAAGUGCAACAGAAAUAAACCGCGGAUUGUGUAUGAUCCGUAAGGGUGGAAAGGCGAGGUAAGAGCUCACCCAUCGGCUGGAGACUGUCCGAUGCUGUAAACUCUAUCCGGAGCAA
rnacentral:RNase_P_RNA from 1 species